rnacentral:rRNA from 1 species
GACGAACGCUGGCGGCGUGCCUAAUACAUGCAAGUAGAACGCUGAAGGAGGAGCUUGCUUCUCCGGAUGAGUUGCGAACGGGUGAGUAACGCGUAGGUAACCUGCCUGGUAGCGGGGGAUAACUAUUGGAAACGAUAGCUAAUACCGCAUAAGAGUAGAUGUUGCAUGACAUUUGCUUAAAAGGUGCAAUUGCAUCACUACCAGAUGGACCUGCGUUGUAUUAGCUAGUUGGUGAGGUAACGGCUCACCAAGGCGACGAUACAUAGCCGACCUGAGAGGGUGAUCGGCCACACUGGGACUGAGACACGGCCCAGACUCCUACGGGAAGCAGCAGUAGGGAAUCUUCGGCAAUGGACGGAAGUCUGACCGAGCAACGCCGCGGGAGUGAAGAAGGUUUUCGGAUCGUAAAGCUCUGUUGUAAGAGAAGAACGAGUGUGAGAGUGGAAAGUUCACACUGUGACGGUAUCUUACCAGAAAGAGACGGCUAACUACGUG